UUUGCACUUAAAUCAUAUUUGUAUGUGUUCCCUUAUCACACCUUCGUCACAGUGACAUUAAAACACUGGACGGAAUUCUGAUAAGGGUUCACAUUCUACCAUUCUUCGAAAGACGUUU
rnacentral:precursor_RNA from 10 species